rnacentral:rRNA from 1 species
GACGAACGCUGGCGGCGUGCUUAACACAUGCAAGUCGAACGGAAAGGCCCUGCUUUUGUGGGGUGCUCGAGUGGCGAACGGGUGAGUAACACGUGAGUAACCUGCCCUUGACUUUGGGAUAACUUCAGGAAACUGGGGCUAAUACCGGAUAGGAGCUCCUGCUGCAUGGUGGGGGUUGGAAAGCUUCGGCGGUUGGGGAUGGACUCGCGGCUUAUCAGCUUGUUGGUGGGGUAGUGGCUUACCAGGGCUUUGACGGGUAGCCGGCCUGAGAGGGUGACCGGCCACAUUGGGACUGAGAUACGGCCCAGACUCCUACGGGAGGCAGCAGUGGGGAAUAUUGCACAAUGGGCGGAAGCCUGAUGCAGCAACGCCGCGUGCGGGAUGACGGCCUUCGGGUUGUAAACCGCUUUCGCCUGUGACGAAGCGUGAGUGACGGUAAUGGGUAAAGAAGCACCGGCUAACUACGUGCCAGCAGCCGCGGUGAUACGUAGGGUGCGAGCGUUGUCCGGAUUUAUUGGGCGUAAAGGGCUCGUGGGUGGUUGAUCGCGUCGGAAGUGUAAUCUUGGGGCUUAACCCUGAGCGUGCUUUCGAUACGGGUUGACUUGAGGAAGGUAGGGGAGAAUGGAAUUCCUGGUGGAGCGGUGGAAUGCGCAGAUAUCAGGAGGAACACCAGUGGCGAAGGCGGUUCUCUGGGCCUUCCCUGACGCUGAGGAGCGAAAGCGUGGGGAGCGAACAGGCUUAGAUACCCUGGUAGUCCACGCUGUAAACGGUGGGUACUAGGUGUGGGGUCCAUUCCACGGGUUCCGUGCCGUAGCUAACGCUUUAAGUACCCCGCCUGGGGAGUACGGCCGCAAGGCUAAAACUCAAAGGAAUUGACGGGGCCCCGCACAAGCGGCGGAGCAUGCGGAUUAAUUCGAUGCAACGCGUAGAACCUUACCUGGGUUUGACAUGGAUCGGGAGUGCUCAGAGAUGGGUGUGCCUCUUUUGGGGUCGGUUCACAGGUGGUGCAUGGCUGUCGUCAGCUCGUGUCGUGAGAUGUUGGGUUAAGUCCCGCAACGAGCGCAACCCUUGUUCACUGUUGCCAGCACGUUAUGGUGGGGACUCAGUGGAGACCGCCGGGGUCAACUCGGAGGAAGGUGGGGAUGACGUCAAGUCAUCAUGCCCCUUAUGUCCAGGGCUUCACGCAUGCUACAAUGGCUGGUACAGAGAGUGGCGAGCCUGUGAGGGUGAGCGAAUCUCGGAAAGUCGGUCUCAGUUCGGAUUGGGGUCUGCAACUCGACCUCAUGAAGUCGGAGUCGCUAGUAAUCGCAGAUCAGCAACGCUGCGGUGAAUACGUUCCCGGGGCU